CAGCUGCUGACGUGGAGCCUCUGCUGGGGUGAAUAAAUGCUUUGUCUGUGUGCACAGAUGCCUACUUUUGUCUUUUCUUUUCUUCUUUGUGAGAACUCUGUCUUUUAGGGAUUGUACUUAAAAGCUCUCUUCGGGAUCAUCUUCCACCCUGUCUCUAAUAACUGAAGGAGAAACAUGCAAUGAGAUUUUCAAGACAGUUGCUGCCUUUGUUUCUUGUAAACCAAAAUACAGCACUGCCGAUUUUUCAGCCAAUGGGAAAAUGCUUGUAUCUUGAUAGAAAUAGUCUUUGGUUUCAUAUGAAGGGUACUGGAGUGAAAACCAGGCAACAUAUUCUCUAGAUGCUGUUUCCAGGAUUUUGGUCACUAGAUCAGGAGAGGUCCUUGAAGUCCUGCAAACAAAAUCCAAGAACUUCAUACUUCAAAAAUUGGGAAACCAAGUCCCAGCUACUCAGGAGGACCACUUGAGCCCAGGAGUUUGAAGUUUGAGACCAGCCUGGACAACAUUGAGAGACCGUGCCUCUCAAAAAAUAAUAAUAACAAAAGAAAUUGGAAAACAAAGCUUGAGCUUCUCAAUUCUAUCCUAACACCUGAACCAUUUCCUGAACAAAAGUGUUUCUCUCUAGCUGUUAGCCCAGCACAUGGCUGCCACAGAUGGAGGAUCCCUCAGCACCUUUGCCUCAUAGCUUUGCAACCAUACACUCUCAGUGUCCCAAGAGCAGACCCUCAACCAGGAGUCUAGGGCAAGUAGUUUAUCUCCAAGGAGAGGAGAGAAGAAGGGAUGUGGGACAGGGAAAAGAAGAAACCAAUAAAAGAACAAGAAGGACCAUCUAUGAGCCAGGAAGAAAG
rnacentral:lncRNA from 10 species